rnacentral:sRNA from 1 species
UGUAUCGGAAGCCUGACGAGGAUGAGAACCUCCGGGGGCAAGAGGUUCGACUCGAGCGCAGCGAGAGAACGUUGCGUCAGCAACGGCCCGCAGGGCGAGCCACGCAGUGGCGAGUCAUCCUC